GCUUAGCCCAGAUAGAAGUGAAAAUCCUUUUUGACUCGUUUUUAGGACGAGGUAAAAAGAUUGUAGCGGAUAGCUGGAAAUUGC
rfam:Flavobacterium frigoris strain DSM 15719 genome assembly, contig: Ga0131223_105